AUGAACGCUGGCGGCGUGCUUCACACAUGCAAGUCGAACGGAAAGGCCCAAGCUUGCUUGGGUACUCGAGUGGCGAACGGGCGAGUAACACGUGGGUGAUCUGCCCUGCACUUCGGGAUAAGCCUGGGAAACUGGGUCUAAUACCGGAUAGGACCACAUUUUGGAUGGUGUGGUGGAAAGUUUUUCGGUGUGGGAUGAGCUCGCGGCCUAUCAGCUUGUUGGUGGGGUAAUGGCCUACCAAGGCGUCGACGGGUAGCCGGCCUGAGAGGGUGUACGGCCACAUCGGGACUGAGAUACGGCCCAGACUCCUACGGGAGGCAGCAGUGGGGAAUAUUGCACAAUGGGCGCAAGCCUGAUGCAGCGACGCCGCGUGGGGGAUGACGGCCUUCGGGUUGUAAACUCCUUUCGCUAGGGACGAAGCGUUAUGUGACGGUACCUGGAGAAGAAGCACCGGCUAACUACGUG
rnacentral:rRNA from 1 species